AUGGAAGAUAAAAUUUUAGCAUCCGCAAAAAGAAAAGCAAAUGCGAUCAUUAAUAAAAAUUCUAUUGUUAAUAAUAAUAAUAAAGAUAAGAAUAUUAUUCAAAAAGAAGAAAUUGUUAGUGAAGAAGAGCAAUGGGAUAUCAAUAAUAAGUUAUUAUUAGAAAUUUAUGAGGAAGAGGAGGAAUUAAUAAAAGAAAUGUGGUUAGAAGAUGAAAGAUAUGAUGAUUCAGAACAAAAUAGUGAUUUCUAUAACUCACUAGAUGAUGUGGGACUACAUAAUUUAGACAAUGCAAUGGAAGCCAUGGAAGUAGAAAGUAGUGGUAAAAGAAGAAGGGGAUAUGGUGAAUCAUCUGUAAAAAGAGAAGGAGAAAGAGAGAGACCUACCAGGACAGCUGGACAAUGGCCUCCAGAAAAAGAUGAUUACCAGCCUACAUAUAUCCCAGGACAAUAUAGAUACAUGGGUACUAAAAGAAGAGAUUUUGAAAAACCAGUGCAAUUCCAAAAUUAUAAAAAUGAUGGUGCUAUAUUAAACCUAGCAGCUCAUGACCCAAUAGAUUGGCCGAAUAUAAUCAGCAUAUGGAAAGGUUUAUUAGUACAAAAAUAUAUACAAAAUCAGUAUAGCAUAGGCACUAAGGUAGAAGAUAUGUUAACAUAUCUUGAAACAUUUUUAGGAGAAUCUGUAAAAGUUCUUUGGGAACAAUGGGUAGAAUCAUACCCUAGUCAAUAUGAAGAAUUAAAAAGGGCAGGAAGUAACCCUAAUAACUUUGCGAAUGUUAUCUCAAAUAUGAUCAUAGCAGAAGAUCCUGAAUUAGGACAUACCUCAUUGCAAAAUGAAAGGUUAAGAGAAAUAGAAAAAUUAACAUUAACUAGCUAG
rnacentral:rRNA from 1 species